AAUCAAGUGACUUAAGAGCAUUUGGUGGAUGCCUAGGCGGUAAGAGGCGAUGAAGGACGUGAUACGCUGCGAUAAGCGUCGGGGAGGUGCGAAUAACCUUUGAUCCGGCGAUUUCCGAAUGAGGAAACUCGGCACAUUUAUGUGUCAACCAUGACUGAAUACAUAGGUUAUGGUGGCGAACCCUGUGAACUGAAACAUCUAAGUAGCAGGAGGAAAGGACAUCAAUUGAGACUCCCCUAGUAGUGGCGAGCGAACGGGGACCAGGCCAAUGAUGCGUGUUUAAUAACUGGAACAAUCUGGAAAGUUUGACCUUAGUGGGUGAUAGUCCCGUACAGGUGUUUUAGACAUGCAUAUUUGAGUAGGGCGGAACACGUGAAAUUCUGUCUGAAUAUGGGGGGACCACCCUCCAAGCCUAAGUACUCCUUACCGACCAAUAGUGAACAAGUACCGUGAGGGAAAGGUGAAAAGCACCCCGACAAGGGGAGUGAAACAGUUCCUGAAACCGAAUGCUUACAAACAGUCGGAGCGGCUAUAUGCCGUGACGGCGUACCUUUUGUAUAAUGGGUCAGCGACUUAAUGUAUCAUGCGAGCUUAAACCGUUAGGUGUAGGCGCAGCGAAAGCGAGUCUUAAUAGGGCGCUUAGUAUGAUGUAUUAGACCCGAAACCGGGCGAUCUAGCCAUGAGCAGGUUGAAGGUGCAGUAACAUGCACUGGAGGACCGAACCCACUAAUGUUGAAAAAUUAGGGGAUGACUUGUGGCUAGGGGUGAAAGGCCAAUCAAGCCCGGAAAUAGCUGGUUCUCCGCGAAAUCUAUUUAGGUAGAGCGUUAAACGAAUACCAUAGGGGGUAGAGCACUGGAUGGGCUAGGGGUCCUCACCGGAUUACCAAACCUAACCAAACUCCGAAUACCUAUGAGUAAUAUUUAGCAGACACACUGCGGGUGCUAAGGUCCGUAGUGGAAAGGGAAACAGCCCUGACCGUCGUCUAAGGUUCCUAAGUUAUGGCUAAGUGGGAAAGGAUGUGAGACUCCCAAAACAACCAGGAGGUUGGCUUAGAAGCAGCCAUCCUUUAAAGAAAGCGUAACAGCUCACUGGUCUAAAUAAGGGGUUUUGCGCCGAAAAUGUACCGGAGCUAAAGCCAUACACCGAAGACACGGGUUUACACUUUUAGUGUAAGCGGUAGCGGAGCGUUCUGUAAGCCUGCGAAGGGUGAUCCGCGAGGACGCCUGGAGGUAUCAGAAGUGAGAAUGCUGACAUGAGUAACGAUAAAGAGUGUGAGAGACACUCUCGCCGAAAGCCCAAGGGUUCCUGCUUAAAGCUAAUCUGAGCAGGGUUAGCCGGCUCCUAAGGCGAGGCCGAAAGGCGUAGUCGAUGGGAAUGGGGUUAAUAUUCCCCAGCCAGUGGAAGAGUGACGGAUUGUUUGAAUAGUACCGACUAAUUGGAUUGUUGGUGCUAUGCGACAGUUCCAGGAAAUAGCCUCCACGUUAAUGACCGUACCCCAAACCGACACAGGUGGGCAGGUAGAGAAUACUAAGGCGCUUGAGAGAACUGCAUUGAAGGAACUCGGCAAAAUGCCUCCGUAACUUCGGGAGAAGGAGGCCCMMWYUUAAGGCAACUUUUKWNUGGGNGGCACAGACCAGGGGGUUGCGACUGUUUAUUAAAAACACAGGGCUCUGCGAAGUUGUAAAACGACGUAUAGGGUCUGACGCCUGCCCGGUGCUGGAAGGUUAAGAGGAGCUGUGCAAGCAGCGAAUUGAAGCCCCAGUAAACGGCGGCCGUAACUAUAACGGUCCUAAGGUAGCGAAAUUCCUUGUCGGGUAAGUUCCGACCUGCACGAAUGGYGUAACGAUYUGGGCACUGUCUCAGCCAYGAGCUCGGUGAAAUUGUAGUMKCGGUGAAGAUGCCGSKUACCCGCAACGGGACGRAAAGACCCCRUGAACCUUUACUAUAGCUUCACAUUGRYAUUGGGYAAWUKAUGUGUAGGAUAGGYGGGAGACUUUGAWRSYGYGUCGCUAGGCRURKKGKAGUCGUYSKUGAAAUACCRCCCUUKAWUURUYUGAUGYCUAAYCCMUYMSKGGRGACAKUGUGUGGUGGGUAGUUUGACUGGGGUGGUCGCCUCCAAAAGAGUAACGGAGGCUYYYAAAGGUACCCUCAGYACGSUUGGUAAYCGURCGUAGAGYGYAAURGCAUAAGGGUGCUUGACUGWGAGRCCUACAAGYCGAYCAGGKWSGAAASWMGRRYAUAGUGAUCCGGURGUUCCGCAUGGAAGGGCYAUCGCUCAAAGGAUAAAAGGUACUCYGGGGAUAACAGGCUGAUCUCCCCCAAGAGCUCACAUCGACGGGGAGGUUUGGCACCUCGAUGUCGGCUCGUCACAUCCUGGGGCUGGAGAAGGUCCCAAGGGUUGGGCUGUUCGCCCAUUAAAGUGGCACGCGAGCUGGGUUCAGAACGUCGUGAGACAGUUCGGUCCCUAUCUGUUGUGGGCGUUGGAAAUUUGAGAGGAUCUGACUCUAGUACGAGAGGACCGGGUUGGACGAACCUCUAGUGYAUCUGUUGUGGCGCCAGCUGCAUUGCAGAGUAGCUACGUUCGGAAGGGAUAAGUGCUGAAAGCAUCUAAGCACGAAGCCUACCUCAAGAUGAGAUUUCCUUUAAGGGUCGUUGGAGACUACGACGUUGAUAGGUUGCAGGUGUAAAGGUGGUGACACCAAAGCCGAGCAAUACUAAUUACCCUAAUACUUCU
rnacentral:rRNA from 1 species